GAUUCCGUAGCUCAGCUGGUAGAGCAUCCCGAUUUUUAUCGGGAGGGUCCUGGGUUCGAAUCCCAGCGGAAUCA
rnacentral:tRNA from 1 species